rnacentral:rRNA from 1 species
CCUACGGGUGGCAGCAGUGGGGAAUAUUGGGCAAUGGAGGCAACUCUUACCCAGCAAUGCCGCGUGAAUGAAGAAGGUAUUCGGUUUGUAAAGUUCUUUAAUUGGGGACGAAAAAAAUGACGGUACCCAAGGAAUAAGCGUCGGCUAACUACGUGCCAGCAGCCGCGGUAAUACGUAGGGGGCAAGCGUUGUUCGGAAGGACUGGGCGUAAAGGGUGUGUAGGCGGGGUAGCUAGUGAGAAGUGAAAUACCUAGAGCGUAAACCAGGUGCCGCUUCUAAAACUGCUAUACUUGAGUGGGGGAGAGGAAAGUGGAAUUCGUGGUGUAGCGGUGGAAUGCGUAGAUAUUAGGAAGAACAUCAGUGGCGAAGGCGACUUUCUGGACUGUAACUGACGCUGAGGCACGAAAGUGUGGGGAGCGAACAGGAUUAGAUACCCGAGUAGUC